rnacentral:rRNA from 1 species
GAUGAACGCUGGCGGCGUGCCUAAUACAUGCAAGUCGAGCGAACAGACGAGGAGCUUGCUCCUCUGACGUUAGCGGCGGACGGGUGAGUAACACGUGGAUAACCUACCUAUAAGACUGGGAUAACUUCGGGAAACCGGAGCUAAUACCGGAUAAUAUAUUGAACCGCAUGGUUCAAUAGUGAAAGACGGUUUUGCUGUCACUUAUAGAUGGAUCCGCGCCGCAUUAGCUAGUUGGUAAGGUAACGGCUUACCAAGGCAACGAUGCGUAGCCGACCUGAGAGGGUGAUCGGCCACACUGGAACUGAGACACGGUCCAGACUACUACGGGAGGCAGCAGUAGGGAAUAUUCCGCAAUGGGCGAAAGCCUGACGGAGCAACGCCGCGUGAGUGAUGAAGGUCUUCGGAUCGUAAAACUCUGUUAUUAGGGAAGAACAAAUGUGUAAGUAACUAUGCACGUCUUGACGGUACCUAAUCAGAAAGCAACGGCUAACUACGUG